rnacentral:lncRNA from 1 species
GCCGAGGGCUGAGUGAGGAGGGCUUCUUCACACAGAGACACUAGGAGGAGGAAACAGAGUACAAGGAGAACGUAUCCAGGAGCAAUUCCACUUCGAAUGAUUCCUAAGUGAAUGCCUACAGGACAGUUCUCGGUGACCAUGUCCAGAACAGGCAUAAGUGACGAUCCCCAGUACUUCCCUGAGGGACCACACUGGUACCUUGGAUCAGAACCCUGCAUCAGAACAGGCCUAAAUGGCCAUGGCUAAGAACACGGCUGAGUUGUCCUUCAACAGCAAUGCCAAUGCCAAUUCACCAUGUCCGAGUGUUCACAAGGCUCCUCUCCUGGAUGUAAGCUAAUUUGUCUAUGUCUCUUCUAAAAUCUCACACCUGGGACUGCGCGA